rnacentral:rRNA from 1 species
AACGAACGCUGGCGGCAUGCCUAACACAUGCAAGUCGAACGAAGGCUUCGGCCUUAGUGGCGCACGGGUGAGUAACGCGUGGGAAACUGCCUAUUGGUGGGGAAUAACGACGGGAAACUGUCGCUAAUACCGCAUAAGCCCUUCGGGGGAAAGAUUUAUCGCCGAUAGAUGUGCCCGCGUCCGAUUAGCUAGUUGGUGAGGUAAUGGCGAACCAAGGCGACGAUCGGUAGCUGGUCUGAGAGGAUGAUCAGCCACACUGGGACUGAGACACGGCCCAGACUCCUACGGGAGGCAGCGGUGGGGAAUAUUGGACAAUGGGCGAAAGCCUGAUCCAGCAAUGCCGCGUGAGUGAUGAAGGCCUUAGGGUUGUAAAGCUCUUUCGGGUGGGACGAUGAUGACGGUACCACCAGAAGAAGCCCCGGCUAACUUCGUGCCAGCAGCCGCCGCAG